rnacentral:rRNA from 1 species
GAUGAACGCUGGCGGCGUGCCUAAUACAUGCAAGUCGAGCGAACGGACGAGAAGCUUGCUUCUCUGAUGUUAGCGGCGGACGGGUGAGUAACACGUGGGUAACCUACCUAUAAGACUGGGAUAACUUCGGGAAACCGGAGCUAAUACCGGAUAAUAUUUUGAACCGCAUGGUUCAAAAGUGAAAGACGGUCUUGCUGUCACUUAUAGAUGGAUCCGCGCUGCAUUAGCUAGUUGGUAAGGUAACGGCUUACCAAGGCAACGAUGCAUAGCCGACCUGAGAGGGUGAUCGGCCACACUGGAACUGAGACACGGUCCAGACUCCUACGGGAGGCAGCAGUAGGGAAUCUUCCGCAAUGGGCGAAAGCCUGACGGAGCAACGCCGCGUGAGUGAUGAAGGUCUUCGGAUCGUAAAACUCUGUUAUUAGGGAAGAACAUAUGUGUAAGUAACUGUGCACAUCUUGACGGUACCUAAUCAGAAAGCCACGGCUAACUACGUGCCAGCAGCCGCGGUAAUACGUAGGUGGCAAGCGUUAUCCGAAAUUAUUGGGCGUAAAGCGCGCGUAGGCGGUUUUUUAAGUCUGAUGUGAAAGCCCACGGCUCAACCGUGGAGGGUCAUUGGAAACUGGAAAACUUGAGUGCAGAAGAGGAAAGUGGAAUUCCAUGUGUAGCGGUGAAAUGCGCAGAGAUAUGGAGGAACACCAGUGGCGAAGGCGACUUUCUGGUCUGUAACUGACGCUGAUGUGCGAAAGCGUGGGGAUCAAACAGGAUUAGAUACCCUGGUAGUCCACGCCGUAAACGAUGAGUGCUAAGUGUUAGGGGGUUUCCGCCCCUUAGUGCUGCAGCUAACGCAUUAAGCACUCCGCCUGGGGAGUACGACCGCAAGGUUGAAACUCAAAGGAAUUGACGGGGACCCGCACAAGCGGUGGAGCAUGUGGUUUAAUUCGAAGCAACGCGAAGAACCUUACCAAAUCUUGACAUCCUUUGACAACUCUAGAGAUAGAGCCUUCCCCUUCGGGGGACAAAGUGACAGGUGGUGCAUGGUUGUCGUCAGCUCGUGUCGUGAGAUGUUGGGUUAAGUCCCGCAACGAGCGCAACCCUUAAGCUUAGUUGCCAUCAUUAAGUUGGGCACUCUAAGUUGACUGCCGGUGACAAACCGGAGGAAGGUGGGGAUGACGUCAAAUCAUCAUGCCCCUUAUGAUUUGGGCUACACACGUGCUACAAUGGACAAUACAAAGGGCAGCGAAACCGCGAGGUCAAGCAAAUCCCAUAAAGUUGUUCUCAGUUCGGAUUGUAGUCUGCAACUCGACUACAUGAAGCUGGAAUCGCUAGUAAUCGUAGAUCAGCAUGCUACGGUGAAUACGUUCCCGGGUCU